rnacentral:rRNA from 1 species
GAUGAACGCUGGCGGCGUGCCUAAUACAUGCAAGUCGAGCGAACGGACGAGAAGCUUGCUUCUCUGAUGUUAGCGGCGGACGGGUGAGUAACACGUGGAUAACCUACCUAUAAGACUGGGAUAACUUCGGGAAACCGGAGCUAAUACCGGAUGAUAUUUUGAACCGCAUGGUUCAAAAGUGAAAGACGGUCUUGCUGUCACUUAUAGAUGGAUCCGCGCUGCAUUAGCUAGUUGGUAAGGUAACGGCUUACCAAGGCAACGAUGCAUAGCCGACCUGAGAGGGUGAUCGGCCACACUGGAACUGAGACACGGUCCAGACUCCUACGGGAGGCAGCAGUAGGGAAUCUUCCGCAAUGGGCGAAAGCCUGACGGAGCCACGCCGCGUGAGUGAUGAAGGUCUUCGGAUCGUAAAGCUCUGUUAUUAGGGAAGAACAUAUGUGUAAGUAACUGUGCACAUCUUGACGGUACCUAAUCAGAAAGCCACGGCUAACUACGUG